AGUGAACGCUGGCGGUAGGCCUAACACAUGCGAGUCGAACGGCAUCACAGUAAGUGCUUGCUCUUACGUAUGGCGAGUGGCGGACGGGUGAGGAAUACAUCGGAAUCUUCUUUUUCGUGGGGGAUAACGUAGGCAAACUUAAGCCAGUACCGCAUACGACCUCCGGUUGCAAGCAGGGGAUAUUCGGCUCUUGCGCGCUUCUAUGAGCCGAGGCCGGAUUGCCUUGUCGGCGGGGUAAAGGCCCACCAAGGCGACGAUCCGUAGCUGGUCGGAGAGGAUGAUCGGCCACACUGGAACUGAGACACGGUCCAGACUCCUACGGGAGGCAGCAGAGGGGAGUAUUGGACAAUGGGCGCAAGCCUGAUCCAGCCAUACCGCGUGGGUGAAGAAGGCCUUCGGGUUGUAAAGCCCUUUUGUUGGGAAAGAAAGGCAGCAGGUUAAUACCCCGCUGUUCUGACGGUACCCAAAGAAUAAGCACCGGCUAACUUCGCG
rnacentral:rRNA from 1 species